rnacentral:rRNA from 1 species
CGCGUGGGGGAGGGGUUCUUGGAUUGUAAACCCCUUUUCUCAGGGAAGAAAAAAAUGACGGUACCUGAGGAAUCAGCAUCGGCUAACUCCGUGCCAGCAGCCGCGGUAAUACGGAGGAUGCAAGCGUUAUCCGGAAUAAUUGGGCGUAAAGCGUCCGUAGGUGGCUGUUCAAGUCUGCCGUUAAAGACCGGGGCUUAACCCUGGAAAGGCGGUGGAAACUGAACGGCUAGAGUGCAGUAGGGGUAGAGGGAAUUCCCAGUGUAGCGGUGAAAUGCGUAGAGAUUGGGAAGAACACCGGUGGCGAAAGCGCUCUGCUGGACUGCAACUGACACUGAGGGACGAAAGCUAGGGGAGCGAAUGGGAUUAGAUACCCCAUCC